AAACUACAAGUCUUGGAGUCUUUCCAGAGGCAGCAAUGCAGCACUGCAAUCAGCAUGGGUCAUUCUUUACUUCACUUUUACCUGUUGUCAAAAAUCCAGCUUUACAUGACUCAAAUUUGCACUUAGACAUCAUAGGCAUUUCAAAGAGUGGCGAGAAGAUCCCACAGAUAACCUUAUACUGAUACCAGGAUUCCCUGACUCUGCAUGGGCCUGCAUCUGUUUCCAUGACACCUCUCUGAUGACAGUUAGGCUAGGCACCAAGCUGGUCACAGAAGAUGGACAGCCUGUGGUCUCUUAGAGUCUGCAAGACAUCAAUCCAGACCCUUCUGAAUUUUUUGGUCUCCAUUGAGAAGCUGGGUGUGAUUCUAAUAUGUCUGCCUUUAUAUAUUACUUGGACAUUUUUCUCCUGCCCCUUUUAAUAUCCUUUCGUUGUUCUGUAUGUUUAGUAUUUUGAUUAUUAUGUGUCUAGAGAAUUUUCUUUUCUGAUGCAAUCUAUUUGGUGUUCUGUAAGCUUUUUGUACCUUUAUCAGCAUGACUAUUUAGGUUGGGAAAUUUUCCUUCACCUGUUU
rnacentral:lncRNA from 1 species